UNNUUGUUUAAAAGAACGGGGGGUUUUAUGCNGUCGUGCGAGGANACCCCCUUGGGGGGGUUCNGGGCAAGGGUGAGAACCGGAGCACCUGCCCUGAUUUGGGNUAAGCCUGGAAAGGGUUUNAUNCGGNUUGAGCUUUCCUCGCNUGGGGGGUUGGAAAAUUUUUUGUUUGGGAUGGCUCGGGGCCUUUCAGCUUUUGGGNGGUAAGGCUCCCCAAGGGUCGACGGGUAGCCGCCUGAGAGGUGACCGGCCCCACUGGGACUGNGACNCGGCCCAGAUUCCUACGGGAGGCAGCAGUGGGAAUAUUGCACAAUGGGCGGAAGCCUGAUGCAGCAACGCCGCGUGAGGGAUGACGGCCUUCGGGUUGUAAACCUCUUUUAGCAAGGAAGAAGCUUUUGUGACGGUACUUGCAGAAAAAGCGCCGGCUAACUACGUGCCAGCAGCCGCGGUAAUACGUAGGGCGCAAGCGUUAUCCGGAAUUAUUGGGCGUAAAGAGCUCGUAGGCGGUUUGUCGCGUCUGCUGUGAAAUCCCGAGGCUCAACCUCGGGCCUGCAGUGGGUACGGGCAGACUAGAGUGCGGUAGGGGAGAUUGGAAUUCCUGGUGUAGCGGUGGAAUGCGCAGAUAUCAGGAGGAACACCGAUGGCGAAGGCAGAUCUCUGGGCCGUAACUGACGCUGAGGAGCGAAAGGGUGGGGAGCAAACAGGCUUAGAUACCCUGGUAGUCCACCCCGUAAACGUUGGGAACUAGUUGUGGGGUCCUUUCCACGGAUUCCGUGACGCAGCUAACGCAUUAAGUUCCCCGCCUGGGGAGUACGGCCGCAAGGCUAAAACUCAAAGGAAUUGACGGGGACCCGCACAAGCGGCGGAGCAUGCGGAUUAAUUCGAUGCAACGCGAAGAACCUUACCAAGGCUUGACAUACACGAGAACACCCCAGAAAUGGGGGACUCUUUGGACCUCUUGAACAGGUGGUGCAUGGUUGUCGUCAGCUCGGUCGUGAGAUGUUGGGUUAAGUCCCGCAACGAGCGCAACCCUCGUUCUAUGUUGCCAGCACGUUAUGGUGGGAACUCAUGGGAUACUGCCGGGGUCAACUCGGAGGAAGGUGGGGAUGACGUCAAAUCAUCAUGCCCCUUAUGUCUUGGGCUUCACGCAUGCUACAAUGGCCGGUACAAAGGGCUGCAAUACCGUGAGGUGGAGCGAAUCCCAAAAAGCCGGUCCCAGUUCGGAUUGAGGUCUGCAACUCGACCUCAUGAAGUCGGAGUCGCUAGUAAUCGCA
rnacentral:rRNA from 1 species